UACGUAGGGGCCUAGCGUUGUCCGGAUUUAUUGGGCGUAAAGAGCUCGUAGGCGGUUCGGUAAGUCAGGUGUGAAAUCUCCACGCUCAACGUGGAGGCGCCACCUGAAACUGCCGUGACUCGAGUCCGGUAGGGGAGAGUGGAAUUCCCGGUGUAGCGGUGAAAUGCGCAGAUAUCGGGAGGAACACCGGUGGCGAAGGCGGCUCUCUGGGCCUGUCCUGACGCUCAGGCGCGAAAGCAUGGGUAGCAAACAGG
rnacentral:rRNA from 1 species